UGAAAAGUUGUUUUAACCUUACCAUUUAGAGGAAGGUGAAGUCGUAACAAGGUUUCCGUAGGUGAACCUGCGGAAGGAUCAUU
rnacentral:rRNA from 13 species